GCUCACGUGGAGAAAUUGGCAGACUCUCAAGACUUAAAAUCUUGUGGUGGAAACACCGUGCCGGUUCAAGUCCGGCCGUGAGCACCA
rnacentral:tRNA from 1 species